GGGGUUGUGGCUCAGUGGAAGAGGCUCUGCUUGGCAAGCAAAAUGUCCCAGGUUCAAUCCCCGGCAUCUCCA
rnacentral:tRNA from 1 species